rnacentral:rRNA from 1 species
GAUGAACGCUGGCGGCGUGCUUAACACAUGCAAGUCGAACGGGAAACCUUUGAUUGAAGCUUCUGCAGAUUUAGCUGGCUUCUAGUGGCGGACGGGGUAGUAACGCGUGGGUAACCUGCCCUAUACAGGGGGAUAACAACCAGAAAUGGUUGCUAAUACCGCAUAAGCGCACAGGGCCGCAUGGUUCGGUGUGAAAAACUCGGGUGGUAUAGGAUGGGCCCGCGUUGGCUUAGCCGGUUGGCAGGGUAACGGCCGACCAAAGCGACGAUCCAGGGCCGGGCUGGUAAGGUGAACGGCCACAUUGGGACUGAGACCCGGCCCAGACUCCUACGCGAGAGAGCAGUGGGGAAUAUUGCACGAUGGGGGAAAACCUGAUGACGCGACGCCGCGUGAAGGAAGAAGUAGCUCGGUAUGUAAACUUCUAUCAGCAGGGAAGAUAGUGACGGUACCUGACUAAGAAGCCCCGGCUAACUACGUG